GCCAGAAACAGCAACCCUUCUGGGUCCCCUUCCACCACGCAGAAGCUUUACUUUCGCUUUCACUUUACUUUUGCUUUCACUUUAACAAAUCUUGCAGCCGCACACUCUUUGGGUCCGCCCGUUUCUCUAAUCAAGUUGUAACACUCGCUGCUGUGGUCCACAGCUUCAUUCCUUGAAGCCCGUGAGACACGAACGCUUCCAUUGAGAAAAACCUUCCAUCAGAAGAAGACUUCUCGUCUCAGUGGGACUGCUGAGUUGAAUGAGACGAGGUUUCACCAUGUUACCCAAGCUGAUCUCGAACUCCUGGGUUCAUGCGAUCCACCUGACUCAGCCUCACAAAGUGGUAGGACUACAGGUGCUUUUUUUUCUGAAGCUUUGGUAGUGUAACUGUAAGAGUCCUGGAAUUGGAAAAGCAAAUCCAGAAGUUGAGUUCCAUGACUUUUUUGCUGUUUGCCUUUGGACUUGCAUCAUUUAUAUUUUUAAUUCAUCGAGGAUGAGAAAAUUGAUUAACACAAAAUCUUUUCAUGUCUUUUCUGAUGAGAGACUAGCUGAAUCCAAGAAGAGAAGCCCUUGAAGAGUGUAUUCUAUUCUAGACAAGCAUUCACACAUUGGCUUCUUUGGUGCCAGGUAAUUAGAAUUUGUAAUUUGGUCUUAAUUAAACUGCAGACUACCCAAAGGCCUUGAUCAGUGGCCUUUUGACUGCCUCCACCGUUUGGAGGAAACAAACAAAACACAAAUUAGCCUUUAAAAAUAUGCCCAUUGAUUUCUCCUCAUCUCCCCAAACAUAUACAACCCCACCAGAUAUAUAUUUAUAUUGGCUAUAAAAAUAUGCCCAUUGAUUUCUCCUCAUCUCCCCAAACAUAUACAACCCCACCAGAUAUAUAUUUAUAUUGGGUAUAAUGUCAACAUAUAUCAAAUGUGCCAAUUAAACACAGAGCUCCUCUAAACUACCAAGCAUGUUAUUAUUAUUAUUUUAAUUUUUAAAACAUUUCUAACUUAACAGAAACAUUGGCCGGGCAGCACUAAUUGUAUCAUUCCUAUGUACUACCAACUUCUCACCAGUAUUGAACUUGAUCUUCAAAACUCUUCCCAGAUAGGGCUAUUUUUCCACUGACUCUAUUGUUAUUCCUUCCCAUUUUCCCUCCUCUGUUUUUGAUGCUUUUUAUUUUGGUUAGCAUGUUUCUGAUCAGCAUGAAAACUGCGCAGGAGCUUUUCUGUCUUGCAGAGCUAGUUAAUGAGAUUGUUGCUGCCUUCAGAUUCUAUAAAGGACUUCUCCAAUAUUGGAUUAAAGAAUGAAGAAAGGAUCAAAUUGAGACAUCCAGGGGGGAAGAGUUCCCUGGCAAAACUCCAAUCUGCCUGAGCACUGAGGUGGAGCCACAGAAGUCCGGGUCAUUUGCACCUGGGAGGAGCCUGGCCCCUCCUCUUCCUGUGUGGAAUCUGGGAUUUAAUCUGUGAGGAGGGAAGGCCAAGGGCAGGAAGCACAGGCUCUCACUUCACUAAGAGUCUCUGUUUCCCCUUUUUUUCCUUUAUGCCUAAUUAAUAAAUCCCAUUUUUCUCACUCUUCAAAUAGUCUUCAAGCCUAAAUUUUCAUGACCAUGGAACAAGGACCCCAUCUUUAGCUGAACUAAGGAAAAGUCCUGCAACAAAAUUCUUUGCUAAAAAUACAUGAGGUUGCCUUUUCCUUCUUAAUCUUAAAAGAAAUAUAUUUCAAUGGUUAACGUUUUAGUAAUUCAAAAAUUAUCAAGCAUUUGUUCACAACCAUAAGAUGUGCAUUGUUUUAUAUUCCUACUUAAUAAUAGACUAUAAUUGUCUAAUUAGACUGCCGAUGUUGAUCUUUGUGGCUCAUUGCAUUGAUUAUAAGCAGUGUUUUGGGUUUGUGUGUGUGUGUCAAAUUUAGGGUUUUUUUGGUAUGGCUGCUGGUUGGUGUAGCCUGUAUCCAGUAUCCUGUAUUAAUUCUAAUAUUUGCAUUUUGAACAUAUUUACAAGUUGCUAAAAUAGCAAAGCUUCGAGAUGAGCCUGGCUGAUAUGGCAAAACCCCGUCUCUACUAAAAAUACAAAAAUUAGCCUGGUGUGGUGGUGCAUGCCUGUAAUCCCAGCUACUUGGAAGUCUGAGGCAGGAGAAUCUCUUGAACCCAGAAGGUGGAGGUUGCAGUGGGCCAAGAUCGCACCACUGCACUCCAGCCUCGGUGAUAGAGCGAGACUACGUCUCAAAAAUAAAAUAAAAUAAAAUAAAAUAAAAAUAGCAAAGCUAUGUAUGGUUUCUCUGAGUUUUGUAAUUUAUCAUUGUUAACUGCAGAAAUUUAUUAUAUGAGACAUAUUAUAUGAGACAUAUAAGUGAAUUUGGAUUGGGUUUAAUUUUAUAUUUUUGAAUAUAGUUCUUCAAGAUAAAUUUUAUCUUAGACCUCAAGAAAUAAAAAUAAAAUAAAUUAGAUAUACAAACGA
rnacentral:lncRNA from 10 species